ACUCCUACGGGAGGCAGCAGUGGGGAAUAUUGCACAAUGGGCGCAAGCCUGAUGCAGCCAUGCCGCGUGUAUGAAGAAGGCCUUCGGGUUGUAAAGUACUUUCAGCAGUGAGGAAGGUGGGUAUGUUAAUAGCAUAUUCAUUUGACGUUAGCUGCAGAAGAAGCACCGGCUAACUCCGUGCCAGCAGCCGCGGUAAUACGGAGGGUGCGAGCGUUAAUCGGAAUUACUGGGCGUAAAGCGCAUGCAGGUGGUUUGUUAAGUCAGAUGUGAAAGCCCGGGGCUCAACCUCGGAAUUGCAUUUGAAACUGGCAAACUAGAGUACUGUAGAGGGGGGUAGAAUUUCAGGUGUAGCGGUGAAAUGCGUAGAGAUCUGAAGGAAUACCGGUGGCGAAGGCGGCCCCCUGGACAGAUACUGACACUCAGAUGCGAAAGCGUGGGGAGCAAACAGGAUUAGAUACCCUGGUAGGCUGUAC
rnacentral:rRNA from 1 species